GCACAGACUUCGGAGAUACAGCGAAGGCGGAGCAGUGUUCACCUCAGCACAGACCCGGGCGGGCGGGCGGGCCGGUGGCACCGCGAGGGCGGAGCUGCGUUCUGCUCUGCACAGACCUUGGGGCACUGCCUCGCUUUGGGACAACUCGGGGCCGCAUCGACGGUGAAUAAAAUACUUCCUGUUUGCAGCCCUGUUUGUGGUUGGUGGCAGCGAUGGACACUGCAGCCAGCCAGAGCGUAGAAAGGCAUCGGGUGAAAGAAGAUGGCCACAGAGACAGACAGCAGCGUGGUCAGAGUGGUAGGAGCCGGCCAUCAGCGAGAGCUGCUCCAUGCCUGGCUGCUGGGUGCUAGAGUCUGCGGCCCACUGGCUUGCCUCACUGUGGUUGGUGGUGGCGGUGACAGAGACUGCAGCAUGACCAGAGUGGCUUUUCUGGCUUUGCCCGCCCAGCUGCUCCAUGCCAGGAGGAGGAGGAGACACCUAGAGCCUGCAACACCACGGCUCGCCUCGCUACAGUCAGUUCUAGAGUGUAUGAAGAACCAAAUGAUGUAAUUGUAUGCGACCUGGCUGUAGUG
ensembl:lncRNA novel transcript